rnacentral:rRNA from 1 species
GUGACAGCCGCCGCGGUAAUACGUAGGGUGCAAGCGUUAAUCGGAAUUACUGGGCGUAAAGCGUGCGCAGGCGGCUUUGCAAGACAGAUGUGAAAUCCCCCGGCUCAACUGGGGAACUGCGCGGGAAACUGUGGGGCUAGAGUUCAGUAGAGGGAAGCGGAAUUCCGGGUGUAGCGGUGAAAUGCGUAGAUAUCCGGAGGAACACCGGUGGCGAAGGCGGCUUCCUGGACUGACACUGACGCUGAGGCGCGAAAGCUAGGGGAGCAAACGGGAUUAGAAACCCUAGUAGUCC